GACGAACGCUGGCGGCGUGCUUAACACAUGCAAGUCGAACGAAGUGGCGAACGGGUGAGUAACGCGUAAUCAACCUGCCCUUCAGCGGGGGACAACAGUUGGAAACGACUGCUAAUACCGCAUACUGAAGGAGGGGAUUGCGGCUGAUUCGCUAGUUGGAGGGGUAACGGCCAACCAAGGCGACGACGGGUAGCCGGCCGGAGAGGGCGACCGGCCACAUUGGGACUGAGAUACGGCCCAAACUCCUACGGGAGGCAGCAGUGGGGAAGAUUGCACAAUGGGGGAAACCCUGAUGCAGCAACGCCGCGUGCGGGAUGACGGCCUUCGGGUUGUAAACCGCUUUCAGCCAUGACGCGGUAGUGGCAGAAGAAGCACCGGCUAACUACGUGCCAGCAGCCGCGGUAAUAC
rnacentral:rRNA from 1 species